rnacentral:ribozyme from 1 species
UGAUUAGGAACUCCUAUCCCUACCUCCUCGCGGUACUGGCCGGGGUACGAGUACCCUUAGGGAAGAUCUGGUAACCAACCCCGGUGGGAACUUUGAUCAUAUGCUGGCAGGGAAGG